rnacentral:rRNA from 1 species
UGAGGAAUAUUGGUCAAUGGACGAGAGUCUGAACCAGCCAAGUAGCGUGCAGGAUGACGGCCCUAUGGGUUGUAAACUGCUUUUGUUUGGGAAUAAUCGACAUUACGUGUAAUGUUUUGCAUGUACCAUUCGAAUAAGGACCGGCUAAUUCCGUGCCAGCAGCCGCGGUAAUACGGAAGGUCCAGGCGUUAUCCGGAUUUAUUGGGUUUAAAGGGAGCGUAGGCCGUUUGGUAAGCGUGUUGUGAAAUGUAGGAGCUCAACUUCUAGAUUGCAGCGCGAACUGGCAGACUUGAGUGCGCACAACGUAGGCGGAAUUCAUGGUGUAGCGGUGAAAUGCUUAGAUAUCAUGACGAACUCCGAUUGCGAAGGCAGCUUACGGGAGCGCAACUGACGCUAAAGCUCGAAGGUGCGGGUAUCGAACAGG